UACGGAGGGUGCAAGCGUUAUCCGGAUUCACUGGGUUUAAAGGGUGCGUAGGUGGAUCAAUAAGUCAGUGGUGAAAGCCCCGAGCUCAACUUGGGAAUUGCCAUUGAUACUGUAGAUCUUGAGUGCGGUUGAGGUAGGCGGAAUGUUACAUGUAGCGGUGAAAUGCUUAGAUAUGUAACAGAACACCAAUUGCGAAGGCAGCUUACCAAGCCGAUACUGACACUGAGGCACGAAAGCGUGGGGAUCAAAC
rnacentral:rRNA from 1 species